rnacentral:rRNA from 1 species
UACGGAGGGUGCGAGCGUUAAUCGGAAUUACUGGGCGUAAAGGGUGCGUAGGUGGUUGAUUAAGUUAUCUGUGAAAUUCCUGGGCUUAACCUAGGCAGGUCAGAUGAUACUGAUUGACUCGAGUAUGGGAGAGGGUAGUGGAAUUUCCGGUGUAGCGGUGAAAUGCGUAGAGAUCGGAAGGAACACCAGUGGCGAAGGCGGCUACCUGGCCUAAUACUGACACUGAGGCACGAAAGCGUGGGGAGCAAACAGG